UACGUAGGGGGCGAGCGUUGUCCGGAUUUAUUGGGCGUAAAGAGCUCGUAGGCGGUUUGGUAAGUUGGAUGUGAAAUCUCCAGGCUCAACUUGGAGGGGUCAUUCGAUACUGCCAUGACUAGAGUUCGGUAGGGGAGUGUGGAAUUCCUGGUGUAGCGGUGAAAUGCGCAGAUAUCAGGAGGAACACCGAUGGCGAAGGCAGGUCUCUGGGCAUUAACUGACGCUGAGGAGCGAAAGCAUGGGGAGCGAACAGG
rnacentral:rRNA from 1 species